UCCUUAGCGACCACCGUCUUCCUCCGUUCCCCGCCGGCGAUGCCACGCCCCCACCAGGCUGGGGGCACUCGGCGGCACCAUAGGCAGAUCAAGCUUCCCCUCGCCGACCCAUCGGAGGUGAAGCAGGGCAGGUCCGCCACUCGUCCCCGCAGAACGCGUCACGCCUCGUCGCCUGUCGUAACGGAGGACCUGCAGCCGCCGCGUAAACCGUACGGCCUCUUUCGCGUUUAUCAUGUUCUAUUGUGAGGAUCCUGUGUCAGGCUAUAUUGGUUGAUCUAGUGUUAGUUAGGUUUAUGUAUUGGUCGAUCUAGUCCUAGGCCUUUUGUUGAAGGAUGUGGCAGUGGGUUUCUAAUUUCUAUCGGAUACAAGUAGGGAUUGGUGGUUCCUUUGGCAGAGUUGAGAUCGGUAGCGAAAGACCUCAUGAUCAUUGCCCUGGGGUGGAAAGGGAGUUGUUCAAUUGUACCGACAGGAAAAAAGUCCUAAAUUGAUAUGAGAGGUUUUAUGAUUCCUGACCUCUGUUUACUUGGAGAUUGAAUAGUGAUGGUUCUCAGAUACGGAUUUGUUGGAUUGUAUUCUUUGUGCUUUCUCCUCUUCAGGUGUGAGGUGCCUGCGGCAGGUGCUUCUGAGUCCAUGGAGUUGGAGGAGUUGCUCAACAUUGCAUCACUGGAAGAGUCGAUCUUUGAUAGUCCACAAAGUGUGCCACAUAAAACCAUUGGCGGCUCAUCCAGCUCGUUCCCAUCCAGAUGUCAGAAGCUUCUGGCAAAUGUUCCUGAUUACAUGUUUGCUCUAACUCUGCCAGAGCCAGAUGUUCCAUCCUUUGAUGAGUUUCCUGACAAUUCAUCGGAGGAGAAGCUUGUGGAAGGUGCUGUUUCAUCCUUGGAGGAGUUGCUCGACACUACGUCAUCAGAAGAAUCAAUCACCGCCAACCCACGGACAGUGCCACAUAACACCAUUGAUGGCUUAUUGAGAACAUUCCCAUCCAGGUUCGGCAAGCUUGUGACAGGUGCUGCUGAGUCCACAUAAGCACUAACUCUGCAAGAGCCAGAUGUUUCAUCCUUGGACGAGUUUUGUGACAGUUCAUCGGAAGUGUCAAUCAGUACCAGUCCACGGAUGGUGCCCCACAACACCAUUGAUGGCCCUCUGCCAUCAGCUUCAUCUCUUGGGUCUAACAUUUUGAUCCGGCAGCCUCCGAAUUCCUUUGAGGUGUUUUACAUUAGGAUUGACCGGAGGGGAACUUUCUGGAUGUACCCUAAUCUGGGUGGACCAUUUCAGAGCAUAGAUGAAACUGAAAAGGCUAUCAAUAGUUUUCUUGAUAUGCAGCAGUGUGAAGCAAGAAUCUUGCGUAUGAACUGGAAGAUCUUUUGAGGAAGCAAUGGGUUUUGGAGAAUCUCAGGUGGUAUUAUCAUUUCAAUUUCACAACAAAGCAAAAGGCUGACGAUAACCCUAGCACUGGCAACAAAUUAUUCUUUGCUGAAGUGUCGUAUAUUAAAGAAAAAGAUGCCUUGGAGGUCAACUGUUGCCGCAUGAUCAAAUCAAUUGCUGAGGGUGGUCACUGUUUUGGUUGUAAAAACAAUGGAAGUCCUGAUAUGCAGCACCCCAUUGAGACUGAUGCAUACACUGGUGGUCACUUGGAUGGAUAUUUGCCAUUUGGUUGUGAUGAUUUAAGCAGUUCUGAUGAUAACGAUGAUGAUGGCGAUGAGGAGGAGGAGGAGGAGGACGACGACGACGAUUAAGGGCAUUCGAGAUCAUGGAAUGGGUGGAUUCCUGCAUCCUAUUGAGCUAGUGCAGAUGAUCAGAGUUAUCCAGAGGGUUGUUUCUCUGCUCGGCAUGUGCUUCUGAAUUUCUGAUCGGACGUUGGUGUCAAGAUCUGUCUCUCAAAUCGAUGUUGUACAGAUAUAAAUGGGACAGUUAAGAGUCAAUAUGCCAAUUUUUUAGAAUGGUUCUUAGUCGGAUAAGAAAUGAGUGCCAUGGGUCUGUCAGAGUAGUUGUCAUACAUGAAUAAGAUGUUUUCUGUUCCUCUCUUUUUUUCCCCUCUCGAUUCCUCUGCUGGUAGCCUGCUACUAUGUGUCUAGGAAUACUAUCAGUUUUUUUGAAAAAAAAAAAUCAGGCAUGUUAUGAGCUCAGUGCUUCAGGUGCAAUAACAACACCAAACUUCAGAAUUUGCUGUUCAAAGAAACUGCAAGAUAUUA